rnacentral:rRNA from 1 species
UGCCAGCCGCCGCGGUAAUACGGAGGGUGCAAGCGUUGUUCGGAAUUAUUGGGCGUAAAGCGCGGGCAGGUGGUCCGUUAAGUCGUCUGUGAAAACCCGAGGCUCAACCUCGUGGAAUGCAGGCGAUACUGGCGGACUAGAGAUCGGUAGAGGCUAGCGGAAUUCCUGGUGUAGCGGUGGAAUGCGUAGAUAUCAGGAAGAACACCCGUGGCGAAGGCGGCUAGCUGGGCCGAGUCUGACACUCAUCCGCGAAAGCGUGGGGAGCAAACAGGAUUAGAUA